GACGAACGCUGGCGGCGUGCUUAACACAUGCAAGUCGAACGAAGUGGCGAACGGGUGAGUAAAGCGUAAUCAACCUGCCCUUCAGAGGGGGACAACAGUUGGAAACGACUGAUAAUACCGCAUACUGAAGGAGGGGAUUGCGUCUGAUUGGCUAGUUGGGGGGGGAACGGCCCACCAAGGCGAUGAACAGUAGCCGGGCUGAGAUGAUGAACGGCCACAUUUGGACCGAGACACGGCCCAGACUCCUACGGGAGGCAGCAGGGGGGAAUCUUCCGCAAUGGACGGAAGUCUGACGGAGCAACGCCGCGGGAGUGAUGACGGCCUUCGGGUUGUAAAGCUCUGUUAAUCGGGGCGCGGUACCGGAAUAGAAAGCCACGGCUAACUACGUGCCAGCAGCCGCGGUAAUUC
rnacentral:rRNA from 1 species